ensembl:lncRNA novel transcript
CCUUUCUCAUAGGAAGGAACCAGAAACGUGACAUGGAUCAAAAGGACAUGUUUGAGUCUGAGGACACACCACUGGCCCAGACCCUGGACGGCUGCUCCGACUCUGGAAGGAAAUGCACCUGCACUACCUCAUCUCCCCCAGCAAUCAGGUCCAUCUCCAACAAUUAAUUAUGUGCUGAUGGGAGACACUGAGCAACGAUGAGCUCAUGUGUAGAUCUCAUCUGUCAGGGGCUGCCAUUCUGAGGUUCUUCUUGCUCACCUCCUCCAAAAAACCUUUUAUUGGAGCAAUUAAUACAAACAAGAUGAACACAUUUACCCUUUAUGAUGGCUUCAUUUCUCCCACCCACCCCCUUAUCAUUAUGAAUUAUCAGUAAAAACUGCAACAAAUGAGACAAGAGAUGAGGUCAAUGUCAGGCCUCUGAGCCCAAGCUAAGCCAUCAUAUCCCCAGUGACCUGCACAUAUACAUCCAGAUGGCCUGAAGCAACUGAAGAUCCACAAAAGAAGUGAAAAUAACCUU